UUGUGAACACCGAAUACGAUAUGAGGUGUGUACUGUCCCCAAUUGUUCCCAAUUUUGUGGAACUAGUAAAUAAGAUGGAGCAGUGGCAUUGUACUCAUUAGCUGGGACCUGGGUGAUGAAAUAUUCAUGGUGAAUAAUUACAAUUUUUUUGUGACUGCUAAAAUGUUUAGAGAUGUUUAAAAUAUGUUUUCUGUGCAGUUUGUGUUUUACCUACAUUGGGUAAAAAGGACUUGCAGAUAAGCGGUUUUGGGUAAUGAAGGAAAAAGUUUGGGAAGCAGUGCAGUAGAUGAAGCGUCUUAUAGGUUAGGUAAAAGGUGGAAGCACGCAAUUUGGUGGCGGCUACAUUUGCUAUUAUAGACACACAUAGAUAAUAGAAGUUUGGUUCAUGACAAGCACUAUGGAAGCCAGCGAGCAUUAAGGAGUUCCUCAAUGCGCAGACGCAAUGUUAUUUGUAAGACUUGAGGUUCUCACAGCGGUGAGUAUGAAGAUAUCCGUCUUCUGGGUUGUUGCGCUGUGUAGUCUGGUCGAUGUUAACGAAACAUCGACCAGACUACACAGCGCGACAACCCAGAAGACGGAUAUCUUCACAAUGUUAUUUGAUAACUGGCGAUGGUGCAGUCUGAGUUCACGCGUUACAAUGCAGGAAAUAAUGUAAAAUACUGGUCUGUUCAGUCUCUGCCCUGUAAGGUCACAAUGGACAAGGUUAUGGUUAAGAAAGUUUUGAGGAAUAUGUUACUAGCACGGUAUUGAAGUGAGGAACGAUUGUGAAAAUGUGUGUGGGGAAUAAAAUUGUUCCCACGAUGAGUGAGACCUUGGUGACUAAAGAUCGUUUGUGUGUUACCAGUUACUUGACAGUGAGAUUCACUUGUUGUGAACCUUCAAAUUGUGCGCAGACGCAAUUGCGUUGGUGUUACAAAUACCGAGGUCACACGUCAGUUUAGCUUGCGAACUGAAGGAAAAUGGAAAUAGAACUUUAAUUCGAUGUUCGCAGUGCAAAUUGAAUUUUUGCUUCACAUUUCUGUGACAAUAAGAGUGCAUAAUUUUGUGGACAUUCCUCAGGACUCACAUCCGUAUCAGCCCAUAGGAAUUCAACGGGGAAUACAGAAGUUUGCAAGUUUCAGUUACAUUCUCUGAGAAGAAUAAUGUGAUUCAAUUUUAUAUUGGGGCUUCUUCAAAAAUUAUAUUUGUGUGAAACUUUAACACCUGUCCUCUUUUUAAUAUGGAAAUGAGGUUUUCAAAAUAACUUGGCAAACAUUUUUACUUAGCUCCAUGGUACAGAAUCUCCCAGUAUCAGCAAAUAGAUAUUCAGGUAUCAGCGGGUUUAUUCUCAUAAUGGAAUUCAAAACCCUGUCACUGUAAUCAUAAGGGCCCACCAUUCUCAGAUGUCCACUUCUCACUUCAAAAGCCUACUUCCAGAAUAAAAUUAUCCGCUCAUCUGUAGCCAUAAUACAGUACUACAAUAUAAUAAUAUUUGCGGAUGACCAAGUAAUAACAGCAUCUACAGAAGAUGCAUAUUACACUUAAGAGUACCAUUCUUUGUCCACCACGAAUAUUGGCAUAAAAGCAGGGAUGGUGGUAAAUUAAUUUUAAUUUUUUUCUUAGUUUUAGGGUAUAUUUUUAUUAGUAGAGUAGUAUUAAAAUGCCAUAUGGCGCAUAAAAUAUUGUAUUAUUUUGUAGAAUUUGAGGUUAUUAUGGAAGACAUCCAUCUUCUUAUUGUAGUUAUAUUGCCUCCAUCAUCAGGCGAUCCUGAUGGCGGAGGCAGCAAGGACCUCUGAAACACUGGUAAAUGUGUACCAGAUUGCACGGUGCAACAGCCUAGAAGUCAGCUAUCUUCAGACAAUAUUUUGUUUGUAGGGCAAAACUAUGAAUAGACCAGGCAGAGGUGCAGAACUGGCUCCAGACAGUGGCCCAGGUAUCUAGCUGCAAGCUCCAGCAAACUGCCCAAGUUAGAUAAGUCCAGAUCAUUGGCUUUAUGCUUCCGUGCAUUGGUUUGAGGGGCCUUCUUGGAGACUAAAGGCCCUUCCCAUCCUGCAGCAGAACCAGAUGUCUACCCACUGGACUGGCCAGUGGAAUGUUUGCCCAACCCGUAGCCUUGGCAGCAGCCUCAACUUCUCUCCUCUUCUUCUGUCUGAGGAUGUCCUGCCUUGAGUGACUGGUCCCUAUAUCUGAGACCAAUUCCUCAUGCAUGGCCUGAUUAUGGAGACAGUGAGUACCUCUGAAAUAUUGGUAACUUCUACCAGACUACCAAGACUACAUGGUGCUACAUCCCAGAAGACAGCCAUCUUUAUGGACAAACUAACCUAAAUUAGAAACAUUUCUUCUGAAUUAUAUGCAUGGUAAUUGCCAUACUGCUAUGAUAGACUCCUGUGGAAUUAGAUAGUGACAUUUCUUGUACUGUAGUUGUAAUGGUUAUACCACCAUGAUUUAUGUGUCAAGGUAUUUUCUGAUGAAGUAGUCCGAAGGUGAGUGUAGCAUUAUGGUAAUACAGGCUUUAUAUUCAGCUUCAUUCCUCUUGUAUUUUUGUCAUUCCAUUAACUUGGCUGCAUAUCAAUGAACCACAUUGAGAGAGUAUGGGCAGAUUUUAUUGUAUUUGUUUUAUAGAAAAUAUAAGGGAUACAACGGAUCAUAAUCUGAAUAUGUUUUGAAAAUAAUAUUUUCUUGUUGGCAUUUGUACACAUUUCGGUGGCACAUUAAAAUUGUCCCAGUAAAGAAAA